AUACGGAAGGUCCGGGCGUUAUCCGGAUUUAUUGGGUUUAAAGGGAGCGCAGGCGGAGAUGCAAGCGUGACGUCAAAUUUCGGGGCUCAACCCCGUCUCGCGUCGCGAACUGCGUCCCUUGGUUGCGGGAAGGGGAGGCGGAACUCGUGGUGUAGCGGUGAAAUGCAUAGAUAUCACGAAGAACUCCGAUCGCGAAGGCAGCCUUCCGGCCCGUCAACGACGCUCAUGCUCGAAGGUGCGGGUAUCAAACAGGAGUAGAUACCCUGGUAGUCCGCACAGUAAACGAUGGACACCCGCGGUUUGGCCUGUAUGGCUGAGCCGCCAAGCGAAAGCGUUAAGUGUCCCACCUGGGGAGUACGCCGGCAACGGUGAAACUUAAAGGAAUUGACGGGG
rnacentral:rRNA from 1 species